UUAAAGAGUUCUAUAACUCCCAAACCCAUGUGAACAUACCUAACGUUGCCUCGGCAGGUCGCACCUACCUUGUAGCACCCUACCCUGUAGGGCCUACCCGGGAGGUGCGGGUAAGCCUGCCGGCGGCCCACCAAACUCUGUUUGAUAUUGAAUUCUGAACCUAUAACUAAAUAAGUUAAAACUUUCAACAACGGAUCUCUUGGUUCUGGCAUCGAUGAAGAACGCAGCGAAAUGCGAUAAGUAAUGUGAAUUGCAGAAUUCAGUGAAUCAUCGAAUCUUUGAACGCAUAUUGCGCCCAUUAGUAUUCUAGUGGGCAGGACCGUUCGAGCGUCAUUUCAACCCUUAAGCCUUCGUUGCUUAGUGUUGGGAGCCUACGGCAACGUAGCUCCUCAAAGUUAGUGGCGGAGUUGGUUCACACUCUAGACGUAGUAAUUUUUUAUCUCGCCUAUUAGUUGGACUAAUCCCCUGCCGUAAAACCCCCAAUUUAUCAAGGUUGACCUCGAAUCGGUUCAGACAAACUCGCUAAAUUGAAGCAUCUUAGUCAGCGAAGGAAAAGAAACCAACAGGGAUUGCCCUAGUAACGGCGAGUGAAGCGGCAACAGCU
rnacentral:rRNA from 1 species